CCACUAAGCAGAAGAUAUACCGUGAUCAAGAAGCUGGUUCACCCGGUGUGGGGCUCAGCCAUUCCACUCUGGCUGUGCUGUGCUGACCCCUUGUGAAUUUUCCUAAAUGUGGGAAUCUCAAUUGCAAAAUUUAUGGUAGUGCUCGUUUGCGCUUUA